CAGCAGCCGCGGUAAUUCCAGCUCCAAUAGCGUAUAUUAAAGUUGUUGCAGUUAAAAAGCUCGUAGUUGAAUUUCGGGGUUAGUAGGUUGGUCAUGCCUCUGGUAUGUACUGGUCUCACUGAUUCCUCCUUCCUGAUGAACCUUAAUGCCAUUAAUUUGGUGUUUUGGGGAAUUUGGACUGUUACUUUGAAAAAAUUAGAGUGUUUAAAGCAAGCUAACGCUUGAAUACAUUAGCAUGGAAUAAUGAAAUAGGACGUUCGAUCCUAUUUUGUUGGUUUCUAGGAUUGACGUAAUGAUUAAUAGGGAUAGUUGGGGGCAUUAGUAUUCAAUUGUCAGAGGUGAAAUUCUUGGAUUUAUUGAAGACUAACUACUGCGAAAGCAUUUGCCAAGGAUGUUUUCAUUAAUCAAGAACGAAAGUUAGGGGAUCGAAGACGAUCAGAUACCGUCGUAGUCUUAACCAUAAACUAUGCCGACUAGGGAUCGGAUGAUGUUAAUUUUUUAAUGACUCAUUCGGCGCCUUACG
rnacentral:rRNA from 1 species